UACGUAGGGGGCUAGCGUUGUCCGGAAUCAUUGGGCGUAAAGCGCGUGUAGGCGGCCCGGUAAGUCCGCUGUGAAAGUCCAGGGCUCAACCCUGGGAUGCCGGUGGAUACUGUCGGGCUCGAGUCCGGAAGAGGCGAGUGGAAUUCCUGGUGUAGCGGUGAAAUGCGCAGAUAUCAGGAGGGACACCAAUGGCGAAGGCAGCUCGCUGGGACGUGACUGACGCUGAGACGCGAAAGCGUGGGGAGCAAACAGG
rnacentral:rRNA from 1 species